UAUAUACAUAUAUGUCGUGAUGUAGCAGUCCAGGUAAAGGUGGGAGCUGAACCCAAUGAAUUCUGGGAAUAUCCGUUGUCUUGACGACAAGUCUGUGGGCCCGCCCACAUCUGCCGUGCUGGGUGCUACCAACCAGUGCAUACCUUUAAUGCCAGCGCUUGAGAGGCAGAGGCCUGCGUAUCUGUAUCUCUAAGUUUGAAGCCAGACUGGUCUAAAAAAGGAAUGCCUGGGGAGAAGGAAAUUGCUGCUUCUGUAUUUGCUGCAGAAAACUACAAUGUGUGAUACAAUCAAGGAAGCUGGAGUCAUGGAGUCAAAGGAGAUGCACUCAUUGGUGAGUCAAGAGAUCUGAGCACCAACAAGGAAAGUUGCUAUGACUGGCUGGAAGACAUCAGACACACCAUUUGUCCACAAUUUUCUAAAUAAACACAGCUUUAUUCACUUUUCCAAGAAUGCCAUUGACCCUAAAACAAAAUAAAACAAAACACCCAUCAUAGAAGGA